GAUGAACGCUGGCGGCGUGCUUAACACAUGCAAGUCGAACGGAGCUUUGAGGAAGUGCUUGCACAGAAUUAAAGCUUAGUGGCGGACGGGUGAGUAACGCGUGAGGAACCUGCCUUUCACAGUGGAAUAACAACGGGAAACCGUUGCUAAUGGCGCAUGACAUCGCAUUGAGGCAUCUCAGAGCGAUUAAAGGAGAAAUCCGGUGAAAGAUGGACUCGCGUCCGAUUAGCUAGUUGGUGAGGUAACGGCUCACCAAGGCGACGAUCGGUAGCCGAACUGAGAGGUUGAUCGGCCACAUUGGGACUGAGACACGGCCCAGACUCCUACGGGAGGCAGCAGUGGGGAAUAUUGGGCAAUGGGCGAAAGCCUGACCCAGCAACGCCGCGUGAAGUAUGAAGGCCUUCGGGUUGUAAACUUCUUUGAUCAGGGAAGAAACAAAUGACGUACCUAAAAACAAGCCACGCA
rnacentral:rRNA from 1 species